rnacentral:rRNA from 1 species
GAUGAACGCUGGCGGCGUGCCUAAUACAUGCAAGUCGAGCGAACAGAUGAGGAGCUUGCUCCUCUGACGUUAGCGGCGGACGGGUGAGUAACACGUGGAUAACCUACCUAUAAGACUGGGAUAACUUCGGGACACCGGAGCUAAUACCGGAUAAUAUCUUGAACCGCAUGGUUCAAUAGUGAAAGACGGUUUUGCUGUCACUUCUCGCUGCAUCCGCGCUGCAUUAGCUAGUUGGUACGGUCACGGCUUACCAAGGCAACGAUGCGUAGCCGACCUGAGAGGGUGAUAGGCCACAUGGGAACUGAGACACGGACCAGACGACUGAGGGAGGCAGCAGUAGGGAAUCUGACGCAAUGGGGGAAAGCCUGACGGAGCAACGCCGCGUGAGUGAUGAAGGUCUUCGGAUCGGAAAACUCUGUUAUGAGGGAAGAACAAAUGUGUAAGUAACUAUGCACGUAGUGACGGUACCUAAUCAGAAAGCCACGGCUAACUACGUG